rnacentral:rRNA from 1 species
UGGGGGAUAUUGCACAAUGGGGGAAACCCUGAUGCAGCGACGCCGCGUGAAGGAAGAAGUAUUUCGGUAUGUAAACUUCUAUCAGCAGGGAAGAAAAUGACGGUACCUGACUAAGAAGCCCCGGCUAACUAUGUGCCAGCAGCCGCGGUAAUACAUAGGGGGCAAGCGUUAUCCGGAAUGACUGGGUGUAAAGGGAGCGUAGGCGGAAUGGCAAGUCUGAUGUGAAAACCCGGGGCUCAACCCCGGGCCUGCAUUGGAAACUGUUGCUCUAGAGAGCAGGAGAGGUAAGCGGAAUUCCUGGUGUAGCGGUGAAAUGCGUAGAUAUCAGGAGGAACACCGGUGGCGAAGGCGGCUUACUGGACUGUUACUGACGCUGAGGCUCGAAAGCGUGGGGAGCAA